UACGUAGGGUGCAAGCGUUGUCCGGAAUUAUUGGGCGUAAAGAGCUCGUAGGCGGUCUGUCACGUCGGACGUGAAAAUCCAGGGCUCAACCCUGGACCUGCGUUCGAUACGGGCAGACUAGAGUUCGGUAGGGGAGACUGGAAUUCCGGGUGUAGCGGUGGAAUGCGUAGAGAUCCGGAAGAACACCGGUGGCGAAGGCGGUCUGCUGGGGUCGAACUGACGCUGAGGCGCGACAGCGUGGGGAGCAAACAGG
rnacentral:rRNA from 1 species